rnacentral:hammerhead_ribozyme from 1 species
UUAUUGCUGAGGAGUCCCGCGAUAGGACGAAACGACCGUCCAGUAC